GCGGGGAAGGCAGCCGAGUCAUCCGUCUUAUCUUAGAAAUUGCCUUAUUAAGGUCCCAUCCGUCGUAACCCUUACAUUGCAUUCUAGCGAGUUUGAAGUUUUAUUCUUCGUUUCAUGUGGUUCCUCGGUAGGUAGGGCUUCCAUUAGUAUAGUACCGUGUGCUUGUACAGGUGAAGUGAAGCUUUUGUUGAUUGAUUCCAGACAGGUCUCUCGAGCCUUCUUUCUCGCUCUCAUCUAUUUUACAUAGAUGAUUGGUCUCGAGCGUGAAACUCCCCAGGGAUUAAAAAAGAAAUUCGACUUUUCCCUAACGCCAAUAAGAAAGGAUGGUGUUUUUAGGUAAGAAACCACGCCAAACAGGCUAAUCCCGUAGCAAGAAAAAAAGAAGAAAGGAAGCGGGGUGGCCAGGUGUGAAGAGAAAGAUAGCGUACAACGGAGUAGCCAACUCAUAGAAAGAGCAGGGGCGCUAGCUUUGAAACAAGGUAACAGGAGAAUCNUGACUUUUCCCUAAUGCCAAUAAGAAAUGAUGGUGUUUUUAGGUAAGAAACCACGCCAAACAGGCUAAUCCCGUAGCAAGAAAAAAAGAAGAAAGGAAGCGGGGUGGCCAGGUGUGAAGAGAAAGAUAGCGUACAACGGAGUAGCCAACUCAUAGAAAGAGCAGGGGCGCUAGCUUUGAAACAAGGUAACAGGAGAAUCUUCCUAAUCUUUGACUUUGAAGUGGGAAUGGUCACAAAUAGAGAGAAAAAAGAAGAAUAUGUUAAAGGUUUCCCGAUUGAAUACGAAGUUUAACAUCCUGAACGAACUGCUUUCCUUAAGCUAGCGCACCGGCACCGCUCCGUGGGCUUGCCAGUUUUCACAUUAAUGAGACAAGUCUGGUAGAAAGAGGACGUCUCUGUCCCUUCACCUGACACCUACUGCUAGGCAGAAAUCCCCGCUUUCAUUGAGGGAAACUUAUUGAAGUCUGAAAUC
rnacentral:lncRNA from 1 species